rnacentral:tRNA from 1 species
CGGGGUGUAGCGCAGCCUGGUAGCGCACCUGCUUCGGGUGCAGGGGGUCGGAGGUUCAAAUCCUCUCGCCCCGACCA